rnacentral:miRNA from 1 species
GUUUCUCUGUGUAGCUUUGGAGCCUAAACUGGCACUCGCUCUGUAGACCAGGCUGGCCUAGAACUCACAGAGAUCCACCUGCCUCUGCCUCCCGAGUGCUGAGAUUAAAGGCAUGUGCCACUAACGCCC